GCUUAACCGGAGAAGUGCAUCGGAAACUGGGUAACUUGAGUGCAGAAGAGGACAGUGGAACUCCAUGUGUAGCGGUGGAAUGCGUAGAUAUAUGGAAGAACACCAGUGGCGAAGGCGGCUGUCUAGUCUGUAACUGACGCUGAGGCUCGAAAGCAUGGGUAGCGAACAGGAUUAGAUACCCUGGUAGUCCAUGCCGUAAACGAUGAGUGCUAGGUGUUGGAGGGUUUCCGCCCUUCAGUGCCGCAGCUAACGCAUUAAGCACUCCGCCUGGGGAGUACGACCGCAAGGUUGAAACUCAAAGGAAUUGACGGGGGCCCGCACAAGCGGUGGAGCAUGUGGUUUAAUUCGAAGCUACGCGAAGAACCUUACCAGGUCUUGACAUCUUCUGUCAAUCUUAGAGAUAAGACGUUCCCUUCGGGGACAGAAUGACAGGUGGUGCAUGGUUGUCGUCAGCUCGUGUCGUGAGAUGUUGGGUUAAGUCCCGCAACGAGCGCAACCCUUAUUAUCAGUUGCCAGCAUUCAGUUGGGCACUCUGGUGAGACUGCCGGUGACAAACCGGAGGAAGGUGGGGAUGACGUCAAAUCAUCAUGCCCCUUAUGACCUGGGCUACACACGUGCUACAAUGGACGGUACAACG
rnacentral:rRNA from 1 species